GAGUGAUCAAGUGUCUUAAGGGCAUUUGGUGGAUGCCUUGGCAUGCACAGGCGAUGAAGGACGUGAUACGCUGCGAUAAGCGUCGGGGAGGUGCGAAUACCCUUUGAUCCGACGAUUUCCGAAUGGGGCAACCCACCUUAGAUAGCUAGAAAAUUUGAAUUGUUGGCGCUUAUGCAAGAACAGUUCAACUUUCUAGUUAUCGUAAUAAGGUAUCUACACCUGAAUACAUAGGGUGUUAGAAGCGAACCUGGGGAACUGAAACAUCUAAGUACCCAGAGGAAAGGACAUCAAACGAGACUCCGCUAGUAGUGGCGAGCGAACGCGGACCAGGCCAGUGGCAAUAGGGAAUAAAGUGGAAGAACCUGGAAAGGUUUGCCGAAGUGGGUGAUAGCCCCGUACACGUAGAACACCUGUUGUCCUUGAGUAGGGCGGGACACGUGAAAUCCUGUCUGAACAUGGGUCGACCACGAUCCAAGCCUAAGUACUCGUGCAUGACCGAUAGCGAACCAGUACCGUGAGGGAAAGGUGAAAAGCACCCCGACGAGGGGAGUGAAACAGUACCUGAAACCGGAUGCCUACAAACAGUUGGAGCCCAAGGUUCGUCCUGGGUGACAGCGUACCUUUUGUAUAAUGGGUCAGCGACUUAGUGUAUCGAGCAAGCUUAAGCCGGUAGGUGUAGGCGCAGCGAAAGCGAGUCUGAACAGGGCGUUCAGUUCGAUGCAUUAGACCCGAAACCAAGUGAUCUAGCCAUGAGCAGGUUGAAGGUACGGUAACACGUACUGGAGGACCGAACCCAUAUCUGUUGCAAUAGAUCGGGAUGACUUGUGGCUAGGGGUGAAAGGCCAAUCAAACUUGGAGAUAGCUGGUUCUCCGCGAAAUCUAUUUAGGUAGAGCGUCCAGCGAAUACCCCCGGGGGUAGAGCACUGAAUGGGCUAUGGGGACUCACCGUCUUACUGAUCCUAAUCAAACUCCGAAUACCGGGGAGUACUACUGGGCAGACACACGGCGGGUGCUAACGUCCGUCGUGGAGAGGGCAACAACCCUGACCACCAUCUAAGGUCCCUAAGUUAUGGCUAAGUGGGAAAGGAUGUGAGGAUCCCAAAACAACCAGGAUGUUGGCUUAGAAGCAGCCAUCAUUUAAAGAAAGCGUAACAGCUCACUGGUCUAAAUAAGGGUCUUUGCGCCGAAAAUGUACCGGGGCUAAAGCCAUACACCGAAGCUGUGGAUGCACAUUUGUGCGUGGUAGCGGAGCGUUCCGUAAGCCUGUGAAGGGACAGUCGUGAGACAUCCUGGAGGUAUCGGAAGUGAGAAUGCUGACAUGAGUAACGAUAAAGGGAGUGAGAGACUCCCUCGCCGAAAGUCCAAGGGUUCCUGCUUAAAGUUAAUCUGAGCAGGGUUAGCCGGCCCCUAAGGCGAGGCCGAAAGGCGUAGUCGAUGGGAACCACGUUAAUAUUCGUGGGCCUGCAGGUAGUGACGGAUCGCGUGUGUUGUAAGGUCUUAUUGGAUUGAUCUUGCAGCGAAGCGGUUCCAGGAAAUAGCUCCUGCAUAUAGACCGUACCCUAAACCGACACUGGUGGACUGGUAGAGAAUACCAAGGCGCUUGAGAGAACUGCGUUGAAGGAACUCGGCAAAAUGCACGCGUAACUUCGGAAGAAGCGUGACCUCCAUUUAGGCAACUAGGUGGGGGUGGCACAGACCAGGGGGUAGCGACUGUUUACCAAAAACACAGGGCUCUG
rnacentral:rRNA from 1 species